GACGAACGCUGGCGGCGUGCCUAAUACAUGCAAGUCGAGCGAAGUUUUUCUGGUGCUUGCACCGGAAAAACUUAGCGGCGAACGGGUGAGUAACACGUAAAGAACCUGCCUCAUAGACUGGGACAACUAUUGGAAACGAUAGCUAAUACCGGAUAACAGCAUUAACUGCAUGGUUGAUGUUUAAAAGUUGGUUUUGCUAACACUAUGAGAUGGCUUUGCGGUGCAUUAGCUAGUUGGUGGGGUAAAGGCCUACCAAGGCGACGAUGCAUAGCCGACCUGAGAGGGUGAUCGGCCACACGGGGACUGAGACACGGCCCAGACUCCUACGGGAGGCAGCAGUAGGGAAUCUUCCGCAAUGGGCGAAAGCCUGACGGAGCAACGCCGCGUGAGGGAAGAAGGAUUUCGGUUCGGAAAGCUCUGUUGUUAGGGAAGAAGGAUUGUGUAGUAACUAUACACAGUAGAGACGGUACCUAACCAGAAAGCCACGGCUAACUACGUG
rnacentral:rRNA from 1 species